CCCUUGGGUUGUUACCCUGAUUGUAUCAGAAGACCCUGUUCAGGUCCGAAUUAGUUUCUCUACUGAUUCCCUCUUUUUGCUACAUUUUAUAGAGAUUAACAGCUAUAAUGUUUUGUAAAAAUGUGCACUGAUUCAGGUGGGGAAUAUUGUUAGGUUCCUGUAUUUCAUGGAGCCCAGCAGCUGAGCCUCCUGUUCACCAGCAUGAAUGCUCUCUAGAGUCUUUCAAUAAGCUCUUGCAGGCUGGACUUAGCAAGCAGGAGUUUGACUUUUAUUUUCCUUGACUGUGUCCAGCAGCUCCAUCAAAGCAAGUCAGUAAAGAAGUGAUGAGAGGUCAGUAUCUUUUUUCUAUGUUUAUGUUGACAAGCUGCAAUUAGGCAAUAUAAUGACCCAUCUAUUUAACAUGACUGCAAUGUCUUUCACAUCCUGGACAUUUCCUUUUCACAUUUCCUUUGCUGAAUUUUAAAAGCUCUGCUUCCUUUACCCUGAUUGUUUCCUGUUCCCAUGUUAUAUAAACCAUGUGAAGUGUUUAGUAAUGUAGUUUAGUUGGUGUUUGCCUGUGACUUGUCUUUGCCUCUUUCCUAGUGUUCCUGUUUUGAUGUAACAUCUGAUUGAUAUUUUGUCCCUUCAUUGCCUUGUGAUUUUUUUCUGGAUAUUAUUUUGGAUUCUCCUGCUGAGUGUGAGUUUAUGACCUGGGGAAAAUGCAUAUUCACUUGAUUUUCAUAGCAUGUUAAAUUGAUUAAAACUUUGAAAGUUAUAGAAGCUGUAAAAGAAAAAAUAUAAAAUGGGAAAAACAUGUAGCAAAGCACAUCCUGAGACACAUGCUAUGGUAUGUACAGGGUGCUCAUGUGUUGGUCCUAAUAUCAUGUUUAUGCAUGUGAAUUAUGGUGAAGGAUGUUUGAACAAAUAUGAUGUAUGGGUUAAAGAAUGUUCUUUUCCAGAAAAAGGUAGUUUUAGCCUCAGACAGUUAGAACAGACAGACAGAGAGAGAGAGAGAGAUAUUGCUUUUCAUGCAUGCAGUUUUUGGCUGACUGGAAGGCAUUUGCUGAAUGGCAGAGUGAGGCACAUAAAAGAGAGGAAAAAUGCCAGGCAGGGCCCCCAUCUGUUUCUCAGUGUGCUGGACACCGCUACACCACGACGCCCACAAGGAAGAACCUGCAGUUUCAGAGGCACCUGCUUCAGACCAUCAAAAUCGGACAGAGAAGGGACCGUGCACUCCGUGGUAAAUGCCUCAAUGCUAGAAGUGGCCAGAGAAGGAGGCCCUAUGAUAGUUCGGAGACCCUGGACAUUGGAGGACAUGAGGAGCAGCAUGACUCAUCUGCUGGCUCUCCGUGAAGUAGGAGGAUGAAAGUUUGGGGAGGAACUUCAGAUAUUCUGCAGAGAAUUCAGACCCACCAAUCAUGAACUACAACGACUGCUCGUGGCCAAACUUGGCACAGACUGGGUCAACCCACAAUGGGAUGAUGAAGUCAACGCGAGGUACAGAGCACAAAUCACGGCGCUCCAGCAGAGGCUGACAAACACCUUUCUAAUGCCUCUCCUUUCACACAGUUACCAUGUAUAUCUCUUGCAGUUAAAUCGUCCUGUGGUGUGACAUCACAUUAGGUUGAUUAAUCUUUUUUAUUUACAGUUGUAUAGUGUGCAGUAUCCAUUAGUGUUCAUAGAAAACGUGUUAUAUUAGCAGUGUUGCCUAUAUUCAUGUCUUUAUCGUUCUGUAAUGUGUAAUGUUUGUAAGCCCAACAACGAGUCAAAUUCCCUGUACCCUAGUGUACUGGAUCACUGAA